CGUUUUGUUGUACUGAGUGGCGGACGGGUGGAGUAACGCGUGGGUAACCGUGCCUCACGACAGGGGAGUAACAGUUGGAAACGACCGCUAUACCGCAUAAGCCACAGGGCGCAUGCUCUGGUUGGAAAGAUUUAUCGGUGUGAGAUGGACCCGCGUCUGAUUAGCCAGUUGGCAGGGUAACGGCCUACCAAAGCGACGAUCAGUAGCCGGCCUGAGAGGGUGAACGGCCACAUUGGGACUGAGACACGGCCCAAACUCCUACGGGAGGCAACAGUGGGGAAUAUUGCACAAUGGGGGAAACCCUGAUGCAGCGACGCCGCGUGAGUGAAGAAGUAUUUCGGUAUGUAAAGCUCUAUCAGCAGGGAAGAAAAUGACGGUACCUGACCAAGAAGCCCCGGCUAACUACGUG
rnacentral:rRNA from 1 species